GACAGAGGUGCCAAGCGUUAGGCGGAAUCACUGGGCUUAAAGCGUGUGUAGGCGGAUCGUUAAGUACCUUGUGAAAUCCCACGGCUCAACCGUGGAACUGCUGGGUAUACUGGCGGUCUUGAGCCACCUAGGGGCGAGCGGAACAAGCGGUGGAGCGGUGAAAUGCGUAGAUAUCGCUUGGAACGCCAACGGUGAAAACAGCUCGCUGGGGGUGUGCUGACGCUGAGACACGAAAGCCAGGGGAGCGAGCGGG
rnacentral:rRNA from 1 species